CUAAUUCCACCCAGCAGCUGGCACAUCUGGACCGUGACCACUGGGGCUGACCCUUGGGGCUGCUGUCACGAUUAUGUCCUUGGGACACCUGGGAGGUUCAAGCCACUGGCAGCAGCUGGGUUGGACCAACAGCUGGUAAAGACUCCAAAGCUCAGAAGAGUAAGUUGACUUGCUCAGAAACACAGAGCCAGUGGUUGUGUGGUGCAGACAAGAAGCCAGGAGUCUGUGAUUCAAGGCCAGGAAUACCACCAUGUCUUGCUGUAUAUCUUUCAGGACUCUGUGACUCAGUUUUUCUGCAGGUUACUGUAUGAUUCUCUGGAGCAGGGUACAAGGAGACACCUUGAAGCUUGCUGGAUGCCUCAGAGGGAAGUGAGAGAGAAACAAGCACCAGAGAAGGCAGAGUGAGGAAACAGAGAAAUUGGGACUUUGGAGACAUUGUUUGAGCUGCUGGACCAAGCCUUGCCUGAAAGCAGCAUAUCUAGACUUCAACAUCCCCACUCUGAGGAGCUUCUGGGAGAGUUGGCUAGGUCUUUCCCAAGCCUGGGAAGCAGAAGCCGGGGCAGAUUAACAAUGCCAAUUACUAAGAUCCUGCAGUCGAUGAAAGGAGUAAGGCUGGAGAAUGAGUGGAAAGAAGACACCUUUGCUUGGGAAUCUUUCAGAUGCCAGCUGGCAUGGGUUUUUGCCCUGGCUUUGAGCUGAGCCUCAGCCAAGGACUGAUCCCCUGCCUGCAGCAGUUCCAGGGAGAUGCUGUUGCUGAUGGUCCAGGGACCACACUUUUGAGAACCACGUGGCUGGAUGAACUCAGAUUCUUUUGAGUAGUGACAUUGAAUGGCUUCUUCCAAGUACUGCUGAGUCCGCUGGUUUCCCUUGUGAUCCAUGACCCACUUCCCCAGUGACUCUGCUCACAUGGGUCCUGACAGAGAUGAUGUCCUGCGAGUUUUCUGGCAAACCCAGAGGAGAGGUCCAGAGAGUGGAUCCGGGGGCUUUGCAGCAAUGGAGUGGGCUUUCAGCAAACUCAA
rnacentral:lncRNA from 1 species